rnacentral:ncRNA from 2 species
UAAUUGGCAAUGCAAGGGAGAGUAAAAUAAGAAGAACUGUUUAAGCGAGUUAGGAAUUGGUGAAAGCCUAACACAGUUUCUUAUUUGAAGAUCACCCUGAAGCUUCUCAUUUGAAAUUAGAGUAAAAUGAGACGUAUACAUCACGUUACGAUGCUGAGUGGAUGAAGAUAUUAGUAGUUAUCUUCAUUUAUGAAGGGUGGUACCGCGAGUCUUCUCGUCCCUUAC